rnacentral:rRNA from 1 species
AGUGAACGCUGGCGGCGUGCUUAACACAUGCAAGUCGAACGAGAACGGAUUAUAGCUUGCUAUAAUUGUCAGCUAAGUGGCGCACGGGUGAGUAAUGUAUAGGUAAUAUGCCUCUUACUAAGGGAUAACAAAUGGAAACGUUUGCUAAUACCUUAUACUCCUUAUUAACAGAAGUUAAUAAGGGAAAGAUUUAUUGGUAAGAGAUUAGCCUGUAUUGUAUCAGUUAGUUGGUGGGGUAAUGGCUUACCAAGACUAUGACACAUAACUGGUUUGAGAGGAUGAUCAGUCACACUGGAACUGAGGCAAGGGCCAGACUCCUACGGGAGGCAGCAGUGGGGAAUAUUGCACAAUGGACGAAAGUCUGAUGCAGCAACGCCGCGUGGAGGAUGACACAUUUCGGUGCGUAAACUCCUCUUAUAUGAGAAGAUAAUGACGGUAUUAUAUGAAUAAGCACCGGCUAACUCCGUGCCAGCAGCCGCGGUAAGAC